rnacentral:rRNA from 1 species
AUUGAACGCUGGCGGCAGGCCUAACACAUGCAAGUCGAGCGGAGCGGCGGACGGGUGAGUAAUGCCUAGGAAUCUGCCUGGUAGUGGGGGAUAACGUCCGGAAACGGGCGCUAAUACCGCAUACUAUCAGAUGAGCCUAGGUCGGAUUAGCUAGUUGGUGGGGUAAAGGCCUACCAAGGCGACGAUCCGUAACUGGUCUGAGAGGAUGAUCAGUCACACGGGAAUUGGGCAACGGUCAGAACUCCUACGGGAGGAGCCAGUGGGGAAUAUUGGAAAAUGGGCGAAAGCCUGAUCCAGCCAUGCCGGGUGGGUGAAGAAGGUCUUCGGAUGGUAAGGCACGUUAAGUUGGAAGGCGUUACCAACAGAAAAAGCGCCGGCUAACUACGUGCCAGCAGCCGCGGUAAUUC